AGCCAGCAUGGCGUAGUGGUUUGAGCGUUGGACUAGGACUCUGGAGACCAGGGUUCGAAUUCCAGCUUAGCUA